AUAGAUUAAAUUAUACAAUUUGGUAAAAAGGUAGUUAAUGUAUUUUAAAUAAAAAGUUUAUAGAAAAUUUAUAUAAAGGUAAAAUUUAAAAAUAAAUUCUAAUAUUAUUUAGAUGCUUUAAUACUGAAUCUACGAAAACCUUAAGGGAAACUGGGAUUAGAUACCCCAUUAUUUAAGGAAAUAAAUUAAUAAAGAUUUACCAGAGAACUACGAAUAAAAAUUUAAAACUCAAAGAGCUUGGCGGUGUUUUAGACCUCUCAGGGGAACCUGUCUCAUAAUCGAUAGUCCACGUAAUACCUAACCUUAUUUUGUAUCCAGUUUGUAUACCGUCGUCGUCAGGUAACUUCUUAAAAUAUAAAAGUUAGCUAAUAAAUAAAAUAAAUUUAUACGUCAGAUCAAGGUGCAACUUAUAGUAAGGUGAGGAUGGGUUACAAUUAAAAUUUAUAAUUACAGAUAAAUAAUGAAAAAUUCAUGAAGGAGGACUUGAAAGUAAAAUAAUAAUAUAGAAAUUAUCUGAAUAUGGCUCUGAAACGUGC
rnacentral:rRNA from 1 species